UGUAUACUUAUUAAUUUGCAAUUUAAUUAGAUCUAUAUUUAACAAUACAAAAACUCGCAUUUAUAAAUAAAUACGACUCAUCACUGUAUGAGUUGAUACGAAUUGAAAUAAACACGUGUUUCCGCUUUGGUGUAAACAUGAUGGUGAUCCGAAAUCUGAACGUCAAUUUUCAUGAUUAUUUCACGACGAAGAUCAUCACAUCAAUGAAUCAAAUAAUACGGAUAUGCCUUUGGUAUUAGCAGUGUGCGUGUUUCGUAUCGUUCAGCCAAUUUUGCAUUGCUUUUGAACUUUGAUGCUUUUGACAAUCACUCGUAAGUUCAAAGUAAAAUCAAAGUUGUCAUAAUAAUGGAUAGUUGUUUUCAGUAUCUAUGUACCAGUGUGUACAGGUGUACAUGUACCACUUUCACAUUGAAAUUUUAGGGUGCUUUCAGCAUAUGCAACAAUACUUUCAUCUGUGAAUACCCACUUUCUAAGCCCACCAUGAACUAAGAGCGGAAGGUCAAUUAAUAUGUAAGGACACCAAUGAACAGACACUUUCCAAUUAUCCUACAUCAUAUACAUGGGUGGUCAAACUCACUGGAUGGUUUAUCAACACUCCCAUGAUCACGAACAGCCUUGCGCCAGGAAUUUUGCCCUGAAGUAACAUUGCAGUCUAUUUGUCUCCUUUCUUUUUACAACCCUGGCAGCCAUGCAGGAUAGAAGCUGAUCACUUGUACUUGACAGCAAAUAAUAAUGUCUUGGACAAGUCAAAGAAUUUCCUCCGGUCUUACAGAGAAAUGACAGUUGAUAAAAGAAUGGUGGACACAAAGUAAAAGUGCUCUUCAACAUUUUGUUGAAGAUUUCAGUCUGAUUUGGAAUUCAUCUUGCAAUAUAUCUGUAUUUGUAUAUUUGGAUAUAAGCGUCAAAUU